CCUACGGGAGGCAGCAGUGGGGAAUAUUGCACAAUGGGGGGAACCCUGAUGCAGCAACGCCGCGUGGGUGAAGAAGUACUCCGGUAUGUAAAGCCCUGUCAGCAGGGAAGAAAAUGACGGUACCUGAGUAAGAAGCCCCGGCUAACUACGUGCCAGCAGCCGCGGUAAUACGUAGGGGGCAAGCGUUAUCCGGAUUUACUGGGUGUAAAGGGAGCGUAGACGGCAGUGCAAGUCUGGAGUGAAAGGCGGGGGCUCAACCCCCGGACUGCUCUGGAAACUGUACGGCUGGAGUGCAGGAGAGGUAAGUGGAAUUCCUAGUGUAGCGGUGAAAUGCGUAGAUAUUAGGAGGAACUCCGAUUGCGAAGGCAGCUUACUAAGCCAUAACUGACACUGAAGCACGAAAGCGUGGGGAUCAAACAGGAUUAGAUACCCGAGUAGUC
rnacentral:rRNA from 1 species